rnacentral:misc_RNA from 1 species
GAAAUGUGAUAAGUAAUGUGAAUUGCAGAAUUCAGUGAAUCAUCGAAUCUUUGAACGCACCUUGCACUCCUUGGUAUUCCGAGGAGUAUGUCUGUUUGAGUGUCAUGAACUCUUCAACUGUAUAGUUUCUUGUACUCUAUAUAGCUUGGUUUCUGAGGGUUGCUGUGCUAGUACAGCUCCCUCGUAAUGCAUUAGCAUCUCUAGUUGAUCUCGGAUUGACUCAGUGUAAUAGACUAUUCGCUGAGGACGAGAUUACACGGACGCUUCGAAACCCCAAAGUCAAUUUUGAAUUAGACCUCAAAUCAGAUAGGAUUACCCGCUGAACUUAA